AUUCUGGUGACCAGGCAAAAGAUAUACCUUCCUCUCAGAUAUAUUUCAGAGUCUGGAUGCUGCAGAGUUUUGUGUUUAAGAGUAUGAAAAGAAUUGGAUUUGCAAACAGAAAACAUUUCUGAGCAGGACAGAGUUUUAUGUGUGCCAGUGUAUGUGUGUUGGGAGGAAUGAAGAGAAGAAACUAGAGAAGAGGAGAUGAGCGAAAAUGGAUGA